rnacentral:rRNA from 1 species
CGGGUCGUGAGAGGAUGAUCCGCCACACUGGGACUGAGACACGGCCCAGACUCCUACGGGAGGCAGCAGUGGGGAAUUUUGGACAAUGGGCGCAAGCCUGAUCCAGCCAUGCCGCGUGAGUGAAGAAGGCCUUCGGGUUGUAAAGCUCUUUCGGCCGGGAAGAAAUCGUGGUCUCUAACAUAGGCCAUGGAUGACGGUACCGGACUAAGAAGCACCGGCUAACUACGUGCCAGCAGCCGCGGUAAUACGUAGGGUGCGAGCGUUAAUCGGAAUUACUGGGCGUAAAGCGUGCGCAGGCGGUUUUGUAAGACAGAUGUGAAAUCCCCGGGCUUAACCUGGGAACUGCGUUUGUGACUGCAAGGCUAGAGUACGGCAGAGGGGGGUGGAAUUCCUGGUGUAGCAGUGAAAUGCGUAGAGAUCAGGAGGAACACCGAUGGCGAAGGCAGCCCCCUGGGCCUGUACUGACGCUCAUGCACGAAAGCGUGGG